AUGACAUGUUCUGUGAUUCUUCACAACAUGAUCAUCGAAGAUGAGAGGCACAUGAACUUGGAGUUCUUCUACUACAAUGUCGGUAGCCGUGUGAAGCCAUCUAGAGACACUGACCGCAUACAAGCAUUCCUUCAGACAUACCGGGAAAUUGAAGACUCAAACAGCCACCACCAGCUUCAACAUGGGCUCAUGGAGCACAAUUGGCAAAUGCAUGGGCAGUAA
rnacentral:rRNA from 1 species